AGUGAACGCUGGCGGCGUGCCUAAUACAUGCAAGUCGAACGGAGUGGUGCAAGGGUGAGUAAUGUAUAGCUAAUCUGCCCUACCCUCGAGGGCAACAGUUGGAGAAGAAUGCUCAUACUCUAUAUUGUAGGAUGAGGCUAUAUUGUAUAAGCUAGUUGGUGAGGUAUUGGCUCACCAAGGAUAUGACGCAUAACUGGUCUGAGAGGAUGAUCAGGCACAGUGGAAGUUAGACACCGUCCAUACUCCUACGGGAGGCAGCAGGAGGGAAGAUUACUCAACGGGGGAAACCCUGAAGCAGCAACGCCGCGUGGAGGAUGACUCUUUUCUGAGCGUAAACUCCGUUUGUUAGGGAAGCGGUACCUAACGAAUAAGCACCGGCUAACUCCGUGCCAGCAGCCGCGGUAAUUC
rnacentral:rRNA from 1 species